GCACCAGUGGUGUAUAACACGCGCCGCCCAUAUUACUGUCGCCGCUGCGGUCGACGGCGGAACGGGGUUCGAUUCCCCGCUGGUGUA